UACGUAGGGCGCAAGCGUUGUCCGGAAUUAUUGGGCGUAAAGGGCUCGUAGGCGGCCAACUAAGUCAGACGUGAAAUCCCUCGGCUUAACCGGGGAACUGCGUCUGAUACUGGAUGGCUUGAAUCCGGGAGAGGGAUGCGGAAUUCCAGGUGUAGCGGUGAAAUGCGUAGAUAUCUGGAGGAACACCGGUGGCGAAGGCGGCAUCCUGGACCGGCAUUGACGCUGAGGAGCGAAAGCCAGGGGAGCAAACGGG
rnacentral:rRNA from 1 species